ANGGCGCAAGCGUUAUCCGGAAUUAUUGGGCGUAAAGAGCUCGUAGGCGGUUUGUCGCGUCUGCCGUGAAAGUCCGGGGCUUAACCCCGGAUCUGCGGUGGGUACGGGCAGACUAGAGUGAUGUAGGGGAGACUGGAAUUCCUGGUGUAGCGGUGAAAUGCGCAGAUAUCAGGAGGAACACCGAUGGCGAAGGCAGGUCUCUGGGCAUUAACUGACGCUGAGGAGCGAAAGCAUGGGGAGCGAACAGGAUUAGAUACCCUGGUAGUCCAUGCCGUAAACGUUGGGCACUAGGUGUGGGGGACAUUCCACGUUUUCCGCGCCGUAGCUAACGCAUUAAGUGCCCCGCCUGGGGAGUACGGCCGCAAGGCUAAAACUCAAAGGAAUUGACGGGGGCCCGCACAAGCGGCGGAGCAUGCGGAUUAAUUCGAUGCAACGCGAAGAACCUUACCAAGGCUUGACAUGAACUGGAACAGCGCAGAGAUGUGUUGGCCGCUUGCGGCCGGUUUACAGGUGGUGCAUGGUUGUCGUCAGCUCGUGUCGUGAGAUGUUGGGUUAAGUCCCGCAACGAGCGCAACCCUCGUUCUAUGUUGCCAGCGC
rnacentral:rRNA from 1 species